AUUGAACGCUGGCGGCAUGCCUAACACAUGCAAGUCGAACGCCAGCACAUUAAAGACAUCGGUCUUUAUGGGUGGCGAGUGGCGGAAGGGUGAGUAACGCGUAGGCAUCUGUCCUGGAGGGUAGGAUAAACCGAGGAAACUCGGGCUAAUAGCGCGUAAUCUGGAGAGAUCAAAAGCAAGGGACCCUUCGGGGCCUUGAGCUCUAGGGUGAGCCUACGUCGGAUUAGCUAGUUGGUGGGGUAACGGCCCACCAAGGCGACGAUCCGUAGCUGGCCUGAGAGGGUGACCGGCCACACUGGGACUGAGACACGGCCCAGACUCCUACGGGAGGCAGCAGUGGGGAAUCUUGGACAAUGGGGGAAACCCUGAUCCAGCGAUGCCGCGUGUGCGAAGAAGGCCUUCGGAUUGUAAAGCACUUUAAUUGGGGAAGAAAAGUAAUAAGUAAAUAAUGUAUUGCUCUGACGGUACCCAAAGGAUAAGCACCGGCUAACUCUGUGCCAGCCGCCGCCGUAA
rnacentral:rRNA from 1 species